CUUCCCCUCUUCUUUUGUGCGCCCUGCAUGAAGUCUUGCUUUGUGGUAACUCCUUGUGUCUGCUUGUGUUGACUCCGAGCCUCGGAACACAACUGUCUGAAACAGCAAGUGGUUCUGUGUCUUGUUCCUUCUGGAAUCCGACUGACUAGAACAUCCCCCUACUGUGUGAUGCCUCCACUCGGUCCUCAUUUACGUGCAGGAGCACAGCGACCGUUUGUCUCCAGGGCCACACACACGAGGUGUGCUUUGUCUGCAGAGUGUGUCUUUCUUCGGGCCUGUAACCCCCUUCGCAUGGAAGAUUAAUGAAGGAAAUCUUUAUAUUCUGUAUAAAAACAACAUCAAAUUUAUAUACUAAAAUCAUUUGUCUAAAAAUUUAAGUUGUUUUCAAAUAAAAGUUGAAAUGCAAAAA